rnacentral:rRNA from 1 species
UACAGAGGGGGCAAGCGUUGUUCGGAAUUACUGGGCGUAAAGGGCGCGUAGGCGGCCUGUUAAGUCAGACGUGAAAUCCCUAGGCUCAACCUAGGAACUGCGUCUGAUACUGGAUGGCUUGAAUCCGGGAGAGGGAUGCAGAAUUCCAGGUGUAGCGGUGAAAUGCGUAGAUAUCUGGAGGAAUACCGGUGGCGAAGGCGGCAUCCUGGACCGGCAUUGACGCUGAGGAGCGAAAGCCAGGGGAGCAAACGGG